UACGGAGGAUUCGAGCGUUAUCCGGAUUUAUUGGGUUUAAAGGGAGCGUAGGGGGGUUGUUAAGUCAGUUGUGAAAGUUUGCGGCUCAACCGUAAAAUUGCAGUUGAUACUGGCAUCCUUGAGUACAGUAGAGGUAGGCGGAAUUCGUGGUGUAGCGGUGAAAUGCUUAGAUAUCACGAAGAACUCCGAUUGCGAAGGCAGCCUGCUGGACUGUAACUGACGCUGAUGCUCGAAAGUGUGGGUAUCAAACAGG
rnacentral:rRNA from 1 species